UUUGGAGAUCGUGGGGCGUGAUCGGAGCAAAGAUGGCUUCAACUGCCUGAUACAGUUUAUACAAAAGGGAAACGUAGCCCGAAUAGAAGAAAAGAGGAAAAUAAAAAAUCAAAAUCCUUAUUCGAAAAUUCGGGUAUAAGAUUUUCGAAAAGAUGAUUAUGUAUUGGUCUUUUCAUUUCCAGUUUGGUUUUCUCUGAAUUUUGCAGGUAUCUUGAAGAGAGAUUAAUUCUUUUGUUCCAGGCCAACUUUAAUGACAAGUAUGAAGUGAGAGAGGGUUGCGGCAUUAUGGGUUCCCAACUCCAGGACACUACUAAGGCCAAGAAGAAACUGCUCAAGGAAUAAGUGAAUUUUGGUUCUUCAUGUACUUUUGUUAUGUUUAUAUAUGGUUUAGGUUAUCCUCUUAACUGUUCAAGCUUAUUCAAAUGAACAGCAGAGUUGUUGCUACCCUUUUGUAAAUGCAGCUUCUGGUACAAAUCUUAUCAACAUGUAGCUGACCUUGAAUCUUAUGCAACUUUUUAUUUUUUAUUUUUCAAGGACGUGCCCUAACACUAUACUUAAUUACUUAUCCGUGGAAUGUCAAACAUGA
rnacentral:lncRNA from 1 species